GGCCUCGUAGCUCAGCUGGUAGGGCGUGCGCUGUACAAAAGCUGAGGCGGCGUUCGUGCGUGGGUUCAAAUCCCACCGAAGAUA
rnacentral:tRNA from 1 species